UGAAUUAAAAAAAAAAGAAAAUUGGGUUAAUUAAGAGGAGACGUAUCUUAAUUAGGGGAAGGAAGAGACGGUGUCUUGAGACACGUGUUGUGUUGUGGGUAUUCAGAAGCAAACCCGUCUCUCUCCCUUCUUCGAUUUCGUCGACGACUCCUACUGCGAUCUCCUCACAGAGCCGGCGAUGGAGUCCAGCGUGUCGGAAGUGCGAGUCUUGUAACGAGUGGAGAAUGGAGACUGGGUCGGCUUGGAAGAGGGAAGCGAGUUCUGUGACUUUGAGGUCGGUGUAGAGUGUGUAGCCGAGGAAGGAUUGGCUUUUGAUCGAUUCAUGUGGACUUCGUGAGAUUGGCUUUUGAUCGACUCAAUUCGAUUCUCUCGAUCUGUUUCUCGCCAUCUGUGUGUGUGUGUGUGUUUGCUUCCAUAGAUAGUUUUGGAAUCGAAUGUUUCCGAAGGGAAAGCAGAGUUGCAGAAAUUGAAAAACAGAGAAGAAGGUCAUGAUGGUGAGAUUCUCUGUGUUUCGUUUAGCCCUGACGGUAAGCAACUAGCAAGUGGUUCAGGUGAUACAACGGUUAGGCUUUGGGAUCUCGACACUGAAACUCCAAUGUUUACAUGCAAAAGGGUACGAGCAUCAUGUUCUCGCAGUUGCAUGGUCACCAGAUGCAAAGUGUCUUGUGAGCGGUGAUAGAAAUGGAAAAGUCUGUGGUUGGGAUCCAAGCAAAGGAGAAUUACAGGGCAAAACACUUGCAGGUCACAAGAAAUGGAUUUGUGGUAUCGCGUGGGAACCAGCUCAUCUUAGUUAUCCAAGCAGGAGAUUUGUGACUUGUGGCAAAGAUGGAGAUGCAAAGAUCUGAGACUUUGCACUUAAGAGAACUCUUACUGUCCUCAGUGGACACACACAAGCUGUGACCUGUGUCAAAUGGAAACCUCAAACAUAUAUUGAGAGUAACAUUUUUUUUGUCUCCUUGGUCUUUACUUUUAAGAUACAUGAUCAAGUUAAUAUGCUUCUUCAGGGCCAUGCCGGGUGGGUGUGAACUCCCUUUCAUUGAGUACAGAAUAUUAUGUUCUUCUGACAGGAGCUUUUGACCACACUAGACAAGUAACAUGUUCAGAUGAAGAAAUGAAAAAGGUAAUAAUAAGCUUCUGAUGAUUUUCUACAGGCUUUGCCUCUUCUUUUUUAGUCUGAUUUUGAUCCACCCAAUUUUUUUUUUUUUAAUUUUUUAAGAAACCCUAAAUAAGAAACUUGCAAUGGAGACGAUUAUUGUUCGGGUU